AUGAUUGAAAACCUCUGCCCAAUUCUUUCAUGGAACGUCCGAGGAUUGAACUCGCCUGCAAGGAGAGCUACCGUUGCUGAAGUUGUUGUUUCCCAUCGCCUUGGCAUUCUCUGUCUCCAGGAAACAAAAAUCUCAACCUGGACUGCAGAUUUAGCCAGAGAAGUUGGAGGUGCCAAGCUUAGAGACUGCGUCGUGCUGCAUGCUUUUGACACCAGAGGUGGCGUGGCAAUCUUCUAGGAUCCUCAUGUUGUGCAAAUCACCUCCCAGGCCAUCGAGCAGUUUGCAAUAACAGCGCAAGCCAGGUUAAAAGCAUCAAGCAAAACUUUCUGGCUGACCACGGUCUACGGGCCGGCUGAUGACGACAGGAAGGAGGAUUUUUUGACUGAAAUAAGAAACACUGCCCCCCCCCCCCAGUAG
rnacentral:rRNA from 1 species